GGUUCAGGACGAACGCUGGCGGCGUGCCUAAUACAUGCAAGUCGAACGGUCUUUCUAUGGAAGCUUGCUUCCACUGAGAAGAUAGUGGCGAACGGGUGAGUAACGACGUGGGGUAACCUGCCCAUAAGAGGGGGAUAACAUCCGGAAACGGGUGCUAAUACCGCAUAGUUUUCUUGAUCGCAUGAUCGGGAAAGGAAAGACGGCCUUUGUGCUGUCGCUUAUGGAUGGACCCGCGGCGUAUUAGUUAGUUGGUGAGGUAACGGCUCACCAAGACGAUGAUACGUAGCCGACCUGAGAGGGUGAUCGGCCACAUUGGGACUGAGACACGGCCCAAACUCCUACGGGAGGCAGCAGUAGGGAAUCUUCCGCAAUGGACGAAAGUCUGACGGAGCAACGCCGCGUGAGUGAAAGAAGGUUUUCGGAUCGUAAAACUCUGUUGUCAGAGAAGAACAAGUUGGAGAGUAACUGCUCCAGCCUUGACGGUAUCUGACCAGAAAGCCACGGCUAACUACGUGCCAGCCGCCGC
rnacentral:rRNA from 1 species